AGAGUUUGAUCAUGGCUCAGGACGAACGCUGGCGGCGUGCUUAACACAUGCAAGUCGAACGGAAAGGCCCUUCGGGGUACUCGAGUGGCGAACGGGUGAGUAACACGUGGGUGAUCUGCCCUGCACUCUGGGAUAAGCCUGGGAAACUGGGUCUAAUACCGGAUAGGACCGCAUGCUUCAUGGUGUGUGGUGCAAAGCUUUUGCGGUGUGGGAUGAGCCCGCGGCCUAUCAGCUUGUUGGUGGGGUAAUGGCCUACCAAGGCGACGACGGGUAGCCGGCCUGAGAGGGUGACCGGCCACACUGGGACUGAGAUACGGCCCAGACUCCUACGGGAGGCAGCAGUGGGGAAUAUUGCACAAUGGGCGCAAGCCUGAUGCAGCGACGCCGCGUGAGGGAUGACGGCCUUCGGGUUGUAAACCUCUUUCAGUACGGACGAAGCGAAAGUGACGGUACCUACAGAAGAAGGACCGGCCAACUACGUGCCAGCAGCCGCGGUAAUACGUAGGGUCCGAGCGUUGUCCGGAAUUACUGGGCGUAAAGAGCUCGUAGGUGGUUUGUCGCGUUGUUCGUGAAAACUCACAGCUUAACUGUGGGCGUGCGGGCGAUACGGGCAGACUAGAGUACUGCAGGGGAGACUGGAAUUCCUGGUGUAGCGGUGGAAUGCGCAGAUAUCAGGAGGAACACCGGUGGCGAAGGCGGGUCUCUGGGCAGUAACUGACGCUGAGGAGCGAAAGCGUGGGUAGCGAACAGGAUUAGAUACCCUGGUAGUCCAA
rnacentral:rRNA from 1 species